CCCACCCAUCUGCCACAGAACCAAUCAGAAUGCAUGAUCGGACCAUGUGACUUCAAGCAUUUUCUGGCUGCAUGGAGGAGCGUGCUUUUGUUGGCGGUCAUCUGAUUGUAAACACAGCCGAAGGCAUGGCUGCCCCUUUCAGCUUCCCCUCUGAGUGGAUAAGUCAGUAAAAUGGCACAGAUGAGUCAGCCUCGUCUUCAGAAUGGGUUGCACAAUGGUGGACCCCUAUCAGGCCGUCUCCAGACCCGCCUACUUGGACCCUCAGUCUUCCUGCCCGGCC